CUGAACAUCUACACCACAAUUAAACAGUCCCUGAACCCGAGCCCUGAGAGUUGGCACGGGCCAGCUGUGGGUGUUUAAUUGCAGUGUAGACGUACCCUGUGAGCAAGAUCCACUGGGCUUAGGGCUGCUCUAUAUUGGUACAGCGAUGCAAAGCAGAUGAAACGUACACUGUUGGAACAUAAGAGCAAUGAUGCAAAGGAAUCCAUUUGACCUCCAUAGAAGUUAGUCACUCUUUUCAUUUAGGGCCCCUUGCAUAUGAGAGAAGGUAGUUUGAGUCAGUAGAGAAGUGUCAGAAUCCAUGUUUCCGAUUCCAGCUCUCAGUUCACCGUUUAGAUACCAGAGUGAUAGUCUAUCUAGAAGACCAUAAAAUAGACUAAUCAAUUAGCCACUGCUGCAUUAUUGAGGGGUGCAUGUCCUUGAGCCUCAUAAGCUAAAUGUUUGGUUUAGACUCCAAUGCUGUUACAUCGUAAUAGCAGCUUUCUUCAAUUUGUACACUUUAUUUUGGCAUGUCUAUUUUAAUAACAUGUUCAACUUCAGUUAGGAAAAAAAAUAGCCUGCCCUUUGGAACUGAUAAUCUUCUGUUCGCUGGGCAAAUGGCUUUUUUCUAAAAGGCUCUUUGCAAUUUUGUACAAGUUUCAAUGGUAGCUUUUGCCAUCUGCCAACUAAUUAACCUCAUUAUAGAAAAUUGACUUUACUAGAAACCAUUCCAAAGAAGAAACCUGAAGUUUAGUGGCCUUGAUUUGUAGUAUACUAUGUUAACUAUAUCUUGCUUUUGUUUCUUCACUGUGUGAUUGGCCUACUGCCAUGCUAUCAAUUCUGCUAUAGGCGAUGGGACAAUGGCUGUGUGAAAAGAUGAUGCCCUUGUCUCUACCACAUGGAUUCAUUAUGCAAAUACCAUAAUUGCCAGGAAGACUGAGCACCUUAAGUGGAGACUUUGGAAGAAUUUUAAAAUCUCCUAGAUAUGAGGCACUUGUGACAAGGUGAAGAUUGAUUAAUCAGUCAUGGACCCAAGAAAGAUGCAGGGGAUAGGGAAAGGAGAAAAUUUAAACUGGAGAUGGAGGCUCCAAAUCCCAUAGUACUUAAAUAUGAGAAGUGGGUUUGAUUUUCAACAUCUGUGAAUGCUUGCCAUGUACCAGCUUAGUCACUUACAUUCUUCAUGUUUAUAUCUACCACAUAAAA